rnacentral:rRNA from 1 species
CAGCCGCCGCGGGAAUACGGAGGGGGCUAGCGUUGUUCGGAAUUACUGGGCGUAAAGCGCACGUAGGCGGCUUUGUAAGUUAGAGGUGAAAGCCCGGAGCUCAACUCCGGAAUUGCCUUUAAGACUGCAGAGCUAGCAGGUGAGAGAGGUGAGUGGAAUUCCGAGUGUAGAGGUGAAAUUCGUAGAUAUUCGGAAGAACACCAGUGGCGAAGGCGGCUUACUGGCUCAUUCUAGACGCUGAGGUGCGAAAGCGUGGGGAGCAAACAGGAUUAGAUACCCGUGUAGUCCCUGUCUCUUAUAC